UUCUGGCUCAGGACGAACGCUGGCGGCGUGCCUAAUACAUGCAAGUCGAACGAACGGAUUGAGGAGCUUGCUCUCAAGAAGUAGUGGCGGACGGGUGAGUAACACGUGGGUAACCUGCCCCUUCAGCGGGGGGAUAACAUCCGGAAACGGGUGCUAAUACCGCAUAGUUUCUUUUUCCGCCUGGAAGAAGAAGGAAAGAUGGCCUUUGUGCUAUCACUGAGGGAUGGACCCGCGGCGUAUUAGUUAGUUGGUGGGGUAAUGGCCUACCAAGACGAUGAUACGUAGCCGACCUGAGAGGGUGAUCGGCCACAUUGGGACUGAGACACGGCCCAAACUCCUACGGGAGGCAGCAGUAGGGAAUCUUCCGCAAUGGACGAAAGUCUGACGGAGCAAACCGCCGCGUGAGUGAAGAAGGUUUUCGGAUCGUAAAACUCUGUUGUCGGAGAAGAACAAGUAGGAGAGUAACUGUUCCUACCUUGACGGUACCCGACCAGAAAGCCACGGCUAACUACGUGCCAGCCGCCGC
rnacentral:rRNA from 1 species